rnacentral:rRNA from 1 species
UACGUAGGGACCGAGCGUUGUCCGGAAUCAUUGGGCGUAAAGAGCGUGUAGGCGGCCACUUAAGUCCUGCGUGAAAUCUUGCGGCUCAACCGCAAGCGGUCGUGGGAAACUGGGUGGCUAGAGUGCGGGAGAGGGGAGUGGAAUUCCUGGUGUAGCGGUGGAAUGCGCAGAUAUCAGGAAGAACACCGGUGGCGAAGGCGGCUCCCUGGAACGCAACUGACGCUGAGGAGCGAAAGCGAGGGGAGCAAACAGG